AUUAAAUGGCUUUUGAAUAAUGUUUGUUGCAGAUUCAUAAGUCGAAACACGGUUCCACGGUCCCAUAAUAUUAUUUUUGCUGUUUCCAAAUUAUAGCUUACCUCGUCCAGCUUCGGGAUUUUUCUUCAGAGAUUCAACAAAUUUUCAUCUCUUUAUGUCUUUGUACAAAAUAAUGAUUAAAAUAAUUUAAAAUUUUAUGUAAAAUACUACACUAGCACAGAGUUGAAAACCGUAACACUACAACAGUUUAGCAACACUUCAACUAAACUUUUUUUUGACGGUUUGAGGUGAUAUCUAAUUUCAAAACUUCAACUAAAAUGCAUUUGAGUUGAAAAUCGAAAUAGGGGGCUUCAAUUAUAAUGUCAACAGCUUUCCGUAAUGCAUUAUUCUAGAACACUGGAAAAUAAGAUCACGUGUGGUCGCUUGUAUAACAAUUCUAUUCUUUAUUUCUAUUUCUAUGCAUAUUAUGCUAUUACAUUUACUUUUUUCCUUAGAUCACAUCAUGCCCAGAAAGAAAAAUACUGAUGUGUAGAAGAACUUUUUUCGUUCGGCAACCAGUAAAACAGUAAAAUGCAAACACUGUGAAAAAGUUUACCAAUGUGGCAAUGUCAGCAAGAUGACCAGCCAUUUGUUAAAUUGUUAUAGACUAACUAGACAAACUACGGAAAAUAGCUGUUACUAGCACAACUGCCGGAAAUGUGUCCUUACAAGAUGAAUCAAAUCAUGAAAUAUCACAGGAUUACACUUCUGACGGAUACAACUUCUAUUAUUAUGACUACAUCAGAAGUUUUAGCAGGAAAAACACUUUAUCUAGACGAGCUCUUACCGAAGAAAAGCUAUCUACACAACACAUUUGGAAACUAUUUAUAUAUGGUCAGUGAAAUUACAGACGAACUGAAGUCUAUAAAUGAUUUACAUUUGCCGUGUGAUGGCUGGAGCAAUCAGCGCAAUGAAUGUAUCAUCAACUUAUUAUUAUUGCAAAACCCGAUCCUGUUUUUGUUAAAAGCCUUAAUACUCUGACAAACCGACAUACAAACAAAUAUGUAUUUCAAUAAAUAAUCAAAGUUAUAAACGUGUA